AUGGGGUAUCCGUGUGGCUUCUUUCUCACUUCAUGUAUUUCCUUACAGCAAUGGGAGUUGGUAGCAUGGAAGCAUGGAAAACCAAAAUCCAGGGAUCAUCUGCAAGUCUUAUUUUAGGAACCUGUUUUAGCCUUUUCUGCCGUCAAACCUCUCUGGCUUUUCUUUUCCCUUUUUUUCUUUUUAAUAUUAGAGUUCUUACCAGUUAACAUUGUCAGAAAGGGAAUAACUGUGUUUCACCCAGUUUCUCACUCCCUCUGGGAGAGAAACUACAACAGUCAAAUAUCCAGAAGGGAAGCAAUUAUAAGAGGAAGCUAAGGACAAUCAAGAUUUGACUGUAUGCUUGUUGUAAUUGUUGAAUUAUUUACAUUCUUUGAUUCCUCUUGGACCGAGCUGAUGUGGUCGGGAUGGUAGAAAGAACAUUGGGCAAGGAACCAGGAGGUGGGUCUCUGGAUUUCAUUCUGCAAUUAAUUAACUGUGUGUCUUCAGAUAAAUCACUUCUUCGAGUCUAUUUUCUGAUCAGGAAAAAGAGGGAGUGCGAUUAUAUCAAUGCUUCUUCAGUUCUAUUUUGCAUUAGAUUCACCUGAGGUGGUUCCAAAAUACACAGAUUUCCAGAUCCGACUGGAGGAUAUAGUGUCAUGGUGAGCCUGUGGACUCUGCAUGGGACUGGACUCUACCCCCUGCCAGGCCACUUACUAACUAGGUGACCUUGUACAAGUUAUUUCCAGUCAUUUUUCUAAUCUAUAAAGCGGGGAUAACAAUAACAGUAUCUACUCAAUAUUGUCCCUGGCAGGGUAAAGUGGUAAUAAUGCUUUUAAAACAUACAUUAUAUUGUCUGCCUCAUUCUAAGCAUUCAAUAGAUAUUAUCAUUUGCAUAGCCCAUAGGAUGUAUGUAUGGGGUGUGAAUGUGUGUGUUUGGUGCAGGGUAGGUGCUCUAUAAGCACCUGUUGAAUAAAUAAGGGAAGUAUAACUGAAGGGUUUUUUUUAAGCAACAUUUAUUUGACCUCACAUCUGAGAUUCUUUAUUAGCCCCAGGCAUUACUUCCCCAAGAGAGGUAAGGAUAGUUUGAGGGAAGUCUAAACGUUGUGCUCAAUCUUUGUCCUCUUCUUAUUCUUAGAUUCAUGAGAGCCUCAGGAUAAUUUAAAAAAAAUAAUUAAACGAUAAAGUCCCAUUAAAAGGCAGGGAAUGAGUCUCAAGGACUUUGCUGGCUGGAUCCAGCCGGCCACUACAUAAUACCAUGACUCCCACCCGGGUGUGCGUCUCCCAUUUUACCUCACAAGACGUCGUGAAAUUCUCAAAGUCACUGUCAUUGCAGUUGACUUUGGAUCAUUUUUAAAAAGCAGUAAUCCAUUUCUCAUUUUGUUGACCGAGCAGAAAACAGGGCAAUGUAACUUUAAAAAAGCUUGAAAAUCAGCGAUAUCAUAAAUAGCGAACUUCUGUCCCCCAUUAAGCUACUGAUCAAAACUCUCCGCGUACAUUGAACUGUGUGUUUUUUUCGGUGGUGGUAGCUCCUCGCCUAAUUUCCAGCUUGCGAUUCUCCCUGGUGUUUUUAGUGAGAGGAGUUACCAGUUGAGUACCAGCGGAGAGGAAAUCGCCUCUGAAUCUCUGGAGGUGGCCUCCUAGAAAGAUCGCUGGGAGGGGAGGAGCCCUGAUUGUCCUGGAAGAAAAGCAAGGCCCCAUCCGGGAAGUCACGGCUUGCCGGGAGGCUGGGGUCGGCAGCUUUGGCUCCUGGAGGUGCAAAAGCAGAGUGCCAACCUGGAAGCUGGGGCCUGCGCGGCUGGAGGGGUCAAUGGUGCAAGUGAAAGAUGCAUAGCCGCACCGACAUGCGUGGGCUCCGGCCCCGCCCCACCACGCGUGGGUAACGGGUUGAAACGGAUCAGGGGCCAUCCUUGCCAGGCAGGCGCAACCGCAGCCUGGUAUCUACUCCUGCAUCGACCGGCGCAGCAGGGGGCAGAGAGCCCUGGGCCUCGCGGGGCGCGGUAGCCCCUCCCUUCCGAAGCCCGCGCUUCCGCCCGAGACCCGGCGGUUGCCGUGACCGUGGCUAUGCCUCGCCUUCCGCCUGCGCCUGGGAGCUGCUGCGGCCGCCUGCUCGCGUCCCUGCGCGCCGCGCCCACAGGCCGCGGGAAGGGAGAGCGCCCGGGUGCGGGCACCUCCGCCACGCGCCGGAGACCUUCUCGGAACUGGACGUUGGGAGGGCUCUGUCAGCCCCGAGUAUCGCCCCCACCCGGGAUGAUCCACUCGACACCUGCGGCCGCUCGAGAGCCGGAGCUUGGCGUGACUGUGGCUGCUGGCUGCCGCCACGGCGAGAUAAGAAGGAAAACGGAGCUAGCGGAGCUUUCCUCCUUUCUCAAGACUCGCACAGACACUGGCGAGCCCGACCCCAGACGGGGAAGGGUGGGGACCUCGGUGGGGGCCAAUUGGAUCCCUGAUCUCUUGCUGCAACCAGCAGAUGGGGGCGCCAGUACUAGAGCUGUGAGCCUGUACUGGGACCUUCCUGUUGUGGUCCCUAGACCCUCCGCCGGGAGUGUCUUCUCGCUUACAAAGUCUGGUGUGGAAGACAAUUCUCCUCCCUCUUCCCCUCCCUCCCUUCCCCCACUCACCUUCGUUCGUCUAUCUCUAGUCUUCUUUACAAAACGGGCCAAGGCAAAUAUGGACACGAGUGAACAAGUUAGAAUACAACAAAACGUGUGUGUGUGUAUGUGAAGGGAAGGAGUAGUGGGGUGGGAGAAAAUAAUGAAAAUAAAAUUAGAAAUAUCUGAGUAUGUAACAAUAACACCCAAGUUCCCUGCCUGCUGUCAGUCUCAGCUGCGGAGGCAAUUUUUACACGUCAAGUCCUAGGAGAAAAUUAGUCCAGAGUAUCUGGAAGCUUUCUUCUCACUAUUUAUUUUACUUUUAUGAAGCUUAAACACAUUCCCACCAAAUAAGUAGCCUCAACGCUAAAGAAGUAGCAUGCUGUUGGGAGCCCAUUCCUAAACACAAUUGAAGCGGCUUCUCAGGGAGGGUGGCCUUUGUCACCUCUGCAGCAGAGGUCGUCACUGGGCUGCUUAAUGUGUCGCACGAGGGGACAGGUGCUUGGGAAAACAUGACACUGUGAUGUAAGGAAUGACCCCCCAACCCGACUGAGGGCAACUGCUUUUCAUAAGGUUGAGGUAGGUUGGUGGAAAACAUGAACUGAACCUUGGGUGUCUCCUGCCCGUUUCCCCACCCCCCACCCCACCCCCCCGCGCUCCUCCCCAGCCUUCAUGAAGCAGGGACAGAUUCCUCCUCUCACCUCAGCAUCCUCUACCUCCUUUGCUAACACUUGCAUUAAAACGCCGAAGUCUGAGUGGGAGGAGUGUUUGCUUAAAGGAAAAGCAGGGUCGCUCAGAGUCCUCUCCAUACUGCGUAGUCAUAGAAUAUUCUUUUAUUCAAGAGGCCCUUCUAGUUGAUUCUAACCGGGCUCAGGUUAUUUUCCCCUUCGCCACCGAUAGGGGGCGGCAGAUGUCCUGCGAUGCCCUGGCGACCUGCAGGAAGAGAGUCCUGUUGUCUCUGGGUAUCCGGCUUAAUUGAUCGUGUUGGAGGGCAGGACAUACUGACUCCUCGUCCAUUUCAACAGCUGCUGGCCCUCCGGUCUCCGACCUUGGGGGCCUUUUGGGAACCUUCGGGGCUUCCCUGUGCCGGAACUGGGCGUCAUCUGUGCACCAAGCAGUACCUGUAAACUUAGCUUACGGUUGUGUGGUGGUCAAGAAUACAGUGAUUAUUGUCACGGCUUGAUGCCACUGCCUUGCUUUGUGCUGAGGCAGUGAGUUUUACCCACCAGCACUGAAAACAUCAACCCUGUGAAAAAGAUGUAUUUGCUGAGAAUAACAUGUGUGAUUCACUGAUAUUAAUGAGAGGCCAAGAAAGUAGAUUCUUUUCCUGUGUAGACCACCACAGACUACUGGGUAGAAUUCCUUGGGCUAUACAGAAGGUCCCCAUUGGCCAAUCAUUCCAUAUACUACGGAAUAUGGACAGUAAGGCCUUGGGACUUUAAGCUUUGGCUUAAUUCCAAAGUCACACAGCUAAUGAGUGACAGAGCCAGCUCUUGAACCAGAUAUGUAAUACCAUGCAUUGGUCGUUUGGAAAAUAAUGAUUCACUGACUCAUGCAGAUCUUCCAAAAGCCACGAGGAAUAGAAGAGAAUGAAAUUGGGAUCAGACCUGUUGUGCUGGACCAUGACAGGGAUGGAGAGGAAAGCAAAGGCAUAGUGUUUAUAAGGGAGGCAGGGUCUGACACAGUGAUGCCAUGCUGCAUGAAGUGAUAGAGCCGAGUGACAUUGAUAAGUCAAACUGGUCGGAGUGCCACAUGGGAUGAGGAGGCCUUUUCCACACUGUGGUGUCAAUAAACGUUCAUGAUAACACUUUAAAAUCAUGUGGAACCAAUGCCAAAAGAAUAAUAUGAACACCUCUGAAUGAAAUGAUGGAAUGAUAAUUUUUAUAAUUGGUCAUGGUAAUUUACUUUCUUGCUAUAACUAAAGUUGAGUGGUCUCUUUCUGGAAUGCCGUCCAGAUAAUUUAUUCUCCAGUCAAACUUCUACCUAUCCUUUAGGAGACAUCUAGAUAAUACUUCCCUCGUCCUGUUCCCCCCGCCCCCCCCCACUUCUUUUGUCUUUUUUAGGACCGCACCCACAGCAUAUGGAGGUUUCCAGGCUAGGGGUUGAAUCAAAGCUGUAGCCACUGGCCUACAGCAAAGCCAUAGCAAUGCCAGAUCUUUAACCCACUGAAUGAGGCCAGGGGUCAAACCUGCGUCCUCAUGGAUACUAGUCAGAUUCAUUUCCCCUGAGCCAUGAUGGGAACUCCCUUGUCCUGUCCACUUUGGAUUCUCCCUGAGGUCUUCCUAGUGCUACUGACCUGUUCCAGCUCCCUACCCAGCAGCAAUCGACAUAGUGCAUCAUUGGUGGUGGUGUGCCUCUCUCGCUUCUAGACUGGGAGCUCCAGGAAGGGAGAUGCUUGCUUUGCAAAUCUAUAUCUCCAGUGUCACAAAGCCUAGCAUAUAGUUGGUAUUCAGUGCAUCUUUAUCCAAUGAAUGCAUGUAUGCACGCACUUGCGAAUGAUUAUCAAGGUAUCCAUCGAGUCUCUCCUGUGCCUAUUUUUGUGGUGGCUAGGGAACACAUUGAUUACUUCAUAAAGGGAAUCUGUGAUAACUUUUUUCAACUCCUGAGGGAUCAUUUAGUAUUUUGGCAUAGGGAUUUAAUAAUUGCUUCUCUGAAGACCUGAAGCAGUUAAGUGGCAGGAGACGUAAAUUAAGAUCAGGUUGAGGGAGGUAAUUAUGAACCUGGAAAGAGCUAUAGCAUGGAUAAGAAGAGAGAGCUCAGUAAAUGAUGGUCACAGCACUGGUAUUAAUGGCACUGAACAUAAAGGUGACUAAGGUACCCAGCAUUCUUCCCCUCUGUGCAACACACUAAGUUUUUCUGGCCUCUAGGGAACCACAGGUAAUCAGGGUGUUCUUUGAGCUCCUGCGGGAAUGCUUAUGAAUUCAUCAGCUUGGGUACUCAGGCACUUAUCUCUUCAUUCAUGUCAUCUUAUACUCUGAACUCCAAAUUUACAAUGAACUCUCUCCAGCUUAUCUAGACAUACUCUUCACCAUUUAGUUCCGGAACCCUGGGGGCACAUUAGUAUUUUAUGUAAUCUCUCCUCCCUGUCAUCUUCCUCCAGUUCUUCCCGUUAUGCUUGGCUUUCCCUGGUAAUAUAUUAUAUAAGGUUGCUCAGUUUCUGUAAUUCUCAGCUUCACCUCUUGGUUUCCCUUCUCUGCUAUUACCUUUAAACCUCUGCUCCCUUUAGCUUAUGAUUGACACUGUUUUUAUAGAGCUUUGUAAGUCCUGAUAUGCACAAUUGAUGUAGCCAUAAAAAUAAAUGGCUCGAAAAAGGAAGAGAAAGCGAAAGAGAAGUGUUUUUGCUUAACCAUUCACCUCCUUCCUUUAAUGGAACCAGUGAAUUAAUUCAGUGAGGUAGUCUUUAAAUACUUGUUUCACUGAAUUAAUAUUUAGCAGAUGUUUUGAAAAUUAUUGUAUGAUUAGUGCAUCCCCCAUUAGCUUUCUGUCUUGUUCUUGAGUUGCUCUAUACUUCAUUUAGGGAACCCCGAAAAUUAAAACAUAUUGAAGUACAUAGUGAUCACAUAGAAAAUAGAGAUUUAAAGUUUAAACAAAUCCAGAAAGCAUGAAGUGUAAAAAGUUAAGAAUGUUAGUUUUCUCAGUUCUUAAUAUGAAUUUUGUGCAGUUUGCAGCCUUAUCUUAUAUGGAUCUGUUAUAUAUUAGUAGUGCCUUAUUUUAAGAAAAACUGAGUGCUUGGGUUUUCAGUUUUAAUGAUGCUUCAUAGGACUUUGGAUUACAAAAUUCAGGGAGCUAUCUUCUUUAAAGUUUAGGGUUCUAAAGGUUAUAAUGUGGAAUCUUCAUUGGCUUUCCUUAAUAGUACUCACUUUGAAAGACAUCUAUUAUUAUGGCAUUUUAUGUUUCUGAGGGAAUUUACAAUAUUAUCUCUGUGAAGUAAAUGUAUAUUUUUCCUUGGUUCUGUUAUGUCUGCUAUCCUAGACAUAUUACUUCCCAUUUUACUUCAUCUGUGCAAUAAGAACAGCAAUAAUGCCCUGUGCUGAUACUAAAGGAGAAUCAUAAGGGUUAACAUGAAAAUUUUUUACAUCUAAUUUUGAAAUUUAUAUAAUACCUCUUAUGUAAGAAUUGUGAACAAUUAUUAUUAUGCACUGUUUCUACGGUGCUUUUUCUUCAGGAGUUUGGGUUUUAGAAUCAUUUCCUCACUCUGUUUAAAGCUACCUGAAUUCUUUCUCUUCUAGGUUUGGAUUACAAUGAUCUUUUAUAUAACUUUCCAAAUGUAUUAUUUCUCCUUACACGCAAAAUAGAAAAUGCCCAAAAGGCAAUCAUAAAACUGAAGUUUUUUCCUCUUCCUUCUCUACCUAUGCUUUUGCAACUAUGAUCUAAAUGGAAAAGUAUUUAGUCAUUGUUCUAAAUAUUUAUUGAAGCUUCCCCUCCCGUCCUCCACCCAAGAAAUAUGUAUUGCUGCUGCAGCUGUUUUGGGCAUGCUAAAAGCCAGCUAAAAGUUAUUUAGGAAUGUUUAACAUAGAUUGAGGUCUUGUUUGGGGGUUUUGGGGGGGGUCAUUUCUUUCUGGAAAUUUGAGGUCUCUUUCUGCUGAUGUGAAUAUAAGUAUCAAAUAACAGAAAUGGAGAGUGAUAAGACAGUUCAAUUAGACACAUACUUCAAUAAUUUUCGACUUCAGGUUUCAGCACUAAUUCUCAUUGUAACUUGUGAGACUUAAUUACCACUCAUUCUAUUUAGGUUUCUCUUCUAUGGCAUAGUAUAAAAUGAUAGCAAACUGGUUUAAGCCUUUGGGCAGUUUAUGAAUUAAAAUAGGUAAAAACCUUUAUCAUAACCUCUAUUGGCCUUUAUGUUUAAAUUUUUCAAUGGCACUUAAAAAGAAAAAAGAUAUUUCUGGAAAUCAUCUUCUUUGUCGUUAGAAAUUAGGGCUAAAAUAAAAUGGAUGCCCAGUCUCACUGUUAGGAUUGAAAAAGUGAGGAAGUUCCCAUUGUGGCUCAGCAGUGAUGAGCCCAACUAGUAUGCAUGGGGAUAUGGGAUUGAUCCCUGGCCUUGCUCAGUGGGUUAAGGAUCCAGUGUUGCUGUGAGCUGUGGUGUAGGCCGGCAGCUGUAACUCUGAUUCGAUCCCUAGCCUGGGAACUUCCAUAUGCUGCAGGUGAGGCCCUAAAAAG